rnacentral:rRNA from 1 species
GGAAUCUUCCGCAAUGGGCGAAAGCCUGACGGAGCGACACCGCGUGCAGGACGAAGGCCCUCGGGUUGUACACUGCUGUCACGCUCUAGGAACCCCAUGCCGUUAACAGCUGCAUGGCUGACUAAAGCGAGAGGAAGUGGCGGCUAACUCUGUGCCAGCAGCCGCGGUAAGACAGAGGCCACGAACGUUGUUCGGAAUCACUGGGCAUAAAGCGCACGUAGGCGGCUAGGUCCGUCCAAUGUGAAAGCCCCCGGCUCAACCGGGGAAUUGCAUCGGAUACAGCCUGGCUUGAGGACGGUUGGGGUGAGUGGAACUCCUGGUGGAGCGGUGAAAUGCGUAGAUAUCAGGAGGAACACCGGUGGCGAAAGCGGCUCACUGGACCGUUACUGACGCUGAGGUGCGAAAGCUAGGGGAGCAAAC